UAAUUAGGGUGCAAGCGUUGUCCGGAUUUAUUGGGUUUAAAGGGUGCGUAGGUGGCUUUUUAAGUCAUGGGUGAAAGCCCGCAGCUCAACUGUGGAAUUGCCUGUGAUACUGAGGAGCUUGAGUGCGGUUGAGGCAGCUGGAAUUGGUGGUGUAGCGUUGAAAUGCAUAGAUACCACCAGGAACACCGAUUGCGAAGGUAGGUUGCUAAGCCGUAACUGACACUGAGGCACGAAAGCGUGGGGAGCAAACAGG
rnacentral:rRNA from 1 species